rnacentral:rRNA from 1 species
UCAAGCGCGAAAAGGGCGUUUGGUGGAUGCCUUGGCAGUAAGAGGCGAUGAAGGACGUGAUACUCUGCGAUAAGCUAUGGUAAGCCGAGAAUAGGCUUUGACCCAUAGAUCUCCGAAUGGGGGAACCCACCUGAUACUCGAUUAUUGAUAGCAUUGUUAUGAAUAAUUGGGUAAAACAGGUACUUUUAACCUGAAUACAUAGGGUUUUAAGAGCAAACCCGGGGAACUGAAACAUCUAAGUACCCGGAGGAAAGGAAAUCAAUAGAUACUUCGUUAGUAGUGGCGAGCGAACGCGAACCAGCCGAGCCGAGAUUGUGACUAGAACAUCCUGGAAAGGAUGGCCAUAGUGGGUGACAGCCCCGUAUAGGAAGCAUGAUUGGACGUAUUAAGUAGGGCGGGACACGUGAAAUCCUGUUUGAAGAUCGGGGGACCACCCCCGAAGGCUAAGUACUCCUUACUGACCGAUAGCGAACCAGUACCGUGAGGGAAAGGUGAAAAGCACCCCGACGAGGGGAGUGAAACAGUACCUGAAACCGAACGCCUACAAUCAGUUGGAGGGGCAUAAGCCCUGACAGCGUACCUUUUGUAUAAUGGGUCAUCGACUUGGUCUAUCUAGCAAGCUUAAGCCGUUAGGUGUAUGCGCAGCGAAAGCGAGUCUUAAUAGGGCGUUGAGUUAGAUGGAUCAGACCCGAAACCGAGUGAUCUAGGCAUGACCAGGAUGAAGGUAAGGUAACACUUACUGGAGGUCCGAACCCACACCUGUUGAAAAAGGUCGGGAUGAGUUGUGCCUAGGGGUGAAAGGCCAAUCAAACUCGGAGAUAGCUGGUUCUCCGCGAAAUCUAUUUAGGUAGAGCGUCAUCCGAAUACCCCGGGGGGUAGAGCACUGGAUGGGUAAUGGGGCCCCACAGGCUUACUGAUCCUAACCAAACUCCGAAUACCCGGGAGUACUAGAUGGCAGACACACUGCGGGUGCUAACGCCCGUAGUGGAGAGGGAAACAACCCUGACCUCCAGCUAAGGCCCCUAAUUCAUGGCUAAGUGGGAAAGCAGGUGAGACGGCCAAAACAACCAGGAGGUUGGCUUAGAAGCAGCCAUCCUUUAAAGAUAGCGUAACAGCUCACUGGUCUAAAUAAGCUGUCUUGCGGCGAAGAUGUAACGGGGCUCAAGCCAUGAGCCGAAGCUGAGGACAUCGCAAGAUGUGGUAGCGGAGCGUAGUGUGACAUAGAUUCUAUCCUCUUUAGUCGUCUUUGACGGCCUUGGAGGAUUGAGAAUCUUUCUGUGAAGCCGGGCUGUAAGGCAUCCGGUGGAGAGAUCACUAGUGAGAAUGAUGACAUGAGUAGCGACAAAGAGUGUGAGAGACACUCUCGCCGAAAGUCCAAGGGUUCCUGCUUAAAGCUAAUCUGAGCAGGGUAAGCCGACCCCUAAGUCGAGGCCGAAAGGCGUAGACGAUGGGAACCAGGUUAAUAUUCCUGGGCCAGGAAGAUGUGACGGAUCGUGAAGGUUGUUCACCCUUAUUGGAUUGGGUGGGCCGCUAAUCGGUUCCUGGAAAUAGCCUUCCAUCAGAUCGUACCCUAAACCGACACAGGUGGACUGGUAGAGAAUACCAAGGCGCUUGAGAGAACUAUGUUGAAGGAACUCGGCAAAAUACCUCCGUAAGUUCGCGAGAAGGAGGCCCAGUUUCUACGCAAGUAUUGACUGGGGGCACAAACCAGGGGGUGGCGACUGUUUACUAAAAACACAGGGCUCUGCGAAGUCGCAAGACGACGUAUAGGGUCUGACGCCUGCCCGGUGCCUGAAGGUUAAAAGGAGAUGUGAGAGCGUCGAAUUGAAGCCCAGGUAAACGGCGGCCGUAACUAUAACGGUCCUAAGGUAGCGAAAUUCCUUGUCGGGUAAGUUCCGACCUGCACGAAUGGCGUAACGACUUCCCCACUGUCCACAGCAUGUGCAGGAUAGGUGGUGGGCUUUGAAGCAGUAACGCCAGUUAUUGUGGAGCCUCCCUUGAGAUACCACCCUUGUUCUGCUUGAUGUCUAACUGCGGUCCAUUAUCUGGAUCCAGGACCCUGCGUGGUGGGUAGUUUGACUGGGGCGGUCGCCUCCUAAAGAGUAACGGAGGCGCGCGAAGGUUGGCUCAGAGCGGUCGGACAUCGCUCGUUGAGUGCAAUGGCAGAAGCCAGCCUGACUGCGAGACUGACAAGUCGAGCAGAGUCGAAAGACGGCCAUAGUGAUCCGGUGGUCCCGCGUGGAAGGGCCAUCGCUCAACGGAUAAAAGGUACGCCGGGGAUAACAGGCUGAUACUGCCCAAGAGUCCAUAUCGACGGCAGUGUUUGGCACCUCGAUGUCGGCUCAUCUCAUCCUGGGGCUGGAGCAGGUCCCAAGGGUACGGCUGUUCGCCGUUUAAAGAGGUACGUGAGCUGGGUUUAGAACGUCGUGAGACAGUUCGGUCCCUAUCUGCCGUGGGUGUAGGAUACUUGAGAGGAGUUGCCCCUAGUACGAGAGGACCGGGGUGAACGAUCCACUGGUGGACCUGUUGUUGCGCCAGCAGCAGUGCAGGGUAGCUAUGAUCGGACAGGAUAACCGCUGAAGGCAUCUAAGCGGGAAGCCCCCCUCAAAACAAGGUAUCCCUGAGGGCCGUGGAAGACCACCACGUCGAUAGGCCGGAGAUGUAAGCAUGGUAACAUGUUCAGUUGACCGGUACUAAUGGCUCGAUAGGCUUGGUUUG